GACCUUGGAUAUUAUACCAUCUUGGAUGUUGUACCCUUCGCUGCUGAUCAUAUGAUGUCUGAUCGUGAGUAGGCUAUGCUUUUUGAUACUAUGUUUGCAUGUAUGUGUAGUAGUCACAAGAGCUUGGCCUUGCUCAAUGUAAUAGGAGGAAGCAAUGCACUUGGACCCUUUGCUAUACCCAUAUAUGUAGGAGGGUACUGUGCAGAGUUGGAAGUCCUAGAUGAGCUUAGUGGA
rnacentral:lncRNA from 1 species